GAACCAGGCCCUGUAGUGCUCAAGGAGGGUGGGAGAGUGAAACGAAAAGGAGUGAGAUGCUGCUUCUGUUCUCGAGGACUUCACAGUCAACUUGCGGAAGGUGAAGGCUGUUUAUGUAAUCGGCGGCGCCUCGCGGGCGACUGGGGGAAGUGGAUGGGGGAGCCUGGCCAGGGCUGACUGAGCGCCCCUGGAAUCCGUGCUCCGGGCGUUGGCUCACUCCCGCCCCGACACCUGGGCCCGCCCUCCCGCUGCGCAGCCACGCGCCGGGCAGCAGCGUGGGCUGGCGGGCGACUCCCCACGCCUCCUGCAACACCGCCCUCUCCCUACCGGAGCGAGGAGGCAGGAAAAGCCUAGAGACGCCUGGUCCCAUCCGCCUACCCAGUCCCCAGCCGGCCUGAAGGGAGGAAGAGGAAGGAACCCAUAAUCAUCCCAAACUGGCGCAAAUGCCUGGAGUUGGUCUGGGGAAUAAAGAAUGGGAUGAAAUGGUGAGAGUCCAGAGGGGUUGAGCAAAGAACUCACUAUCACACAGCAAGGCACUAAUUUGAAAUGCCUGGGAGAAGUAGAAGCUGCAUUUGACUCUCAUAUUCUUAUUGGACCAGGAAGGCAGGAGGAGACACCAGUGUGCACCAGAGAAGGAGAAGUCAGAGAUGACAGUCCCUGCCUGAGGCCAUCUCUGGUCCACCAGACAACUCAUCACCAACUUCCCAACAGCCACUGCUCUAGGCCAGGUGUCCACAUGGGGAAUAGGUCCAGGCCCUCUAUGGCUCUCGCAGGAGUCAGGGAGGCAGAUAAAUAACAUAUCACAAAGACAGAAUAUAAGAAAUGCCUGGGAGGAGGCAUACUGAUGCGUGGAAAGUACUCAGCCAGAAGCCUGGCACUAGAAGGGCCCAGGGAUUGUUGGCAUGUAUGAGUCACAGUUCCAUUUCAGUGGAGUGAGCAGGGAGAGAAUCUCCUGGAAGUAGGUGAAUAGAGAAAAUACAGCCUCUUCCUUACCUUUGAAUUUUUUUAGGCUCCCUGUGAUGGAGUCAUGUCUUGAUUUUGCUUCACUGAGUUUUUUCUCCAGUUCCAGAGGAACAGGGGUUGGGUUGAGAAACUGAAACUCUUCACUUCUAGGAAGAUGUGGUUGAGCUGGUUGGUGAGAUCAGGGGAUGAGGUGUGGGAGAAGGAGGAUCUGAGAUACGCGGUUGAGAAAUGAGGGGAUGAAGACCUGGGGGUAGAACUGAGAGCAGUGGCUCACACCUGUAAUCCCAGCACUUUGGGAGGCUGAGGCGGGUGGAUCACCUGAGGUCAGGAGUUCAAGACUAGCCUGGCCAACAUGGUAAAACCUGGUCUCUACUAAAAAUAUGAAAAUUAGCCAGGCUUGGUGGCAAGCGCCUGUAGUCUCAGCUACUUGGGAGGCUGAGGCAGGAGAAUCACUUGAACCUGGGAGACAAAGGUUGCAGUGAGCUGAGAUUGCACCACUGCACUCCAGCCUGAGCAACAAGAGCAAAGCUCCAUCUCAAAAAAAAAAAAAAAAAAAAAAAAAGAAGACCUGGCGGUUAAGGGAUAGUGAGCUGGGAGUCAGAAAGUCAGGGCUAGGGAUAUGGGGCGGGAGUGAGGUAGGGCAUAGGGAGAUAUGGAAAUGAAGAUGGGAGAUGGAGACAGAGAGGAGGGAAAAAAACAGGGUCAGGGAGACAGAGUAGGGGACCCAGGAGCUAUUCAGUUGAGCAAGGGGGCAUUCAGGAAAUAGUAGAAUCUGUGCUGAAGAAGGAGGAAGGCUG
rnacentral:lncRNA from 10 species